rnacentral:rRNA from 1 species
CUUCGGGUUGUAAAGCUCUUCUCAGCAGGAACGAAACGGUACGCUCUAACAUAGCGUGCUAAUGACGGUACCUGCAGAAGAAGCACCGGCUAACUACGUGCCAGCAGCCGCGGUAAUACGUAGGGUGCGAGCGUUAAUCGGAAUUACUGGGCGUAAAGCGUGCGCAGGCGGAUUGUUAAGCAAGACGUGAAAUCCCCGGGCUUAACCUGGGAAUGGCGUUUUGAACUGGCAGUCUAGAGUGUGUCAGAGGGGGGUAGAAUUCCACGUGUAGCAGUGAAAUGCGUAGAGAUGUGGAGGAAUACCGAUGGCGAAGGCAGCCCCCUGGGAUAACACUGACGCUCAUGUACGAAAGCGUGGGUAGCAAACAGGAUUAGAUACCCUGGUAGUCCACGCCCUAAACGAUGUCAACUGGUUGUUGGGGGAGUGAAAUCCCUUAGUAACGAAGCUAACGCGUGAAGUUGACCGCCUGGGGAGUACGGUCGCAAGAUUAAAACUCAAAGGAAUUGACGGGGACCCGCACAAGCGGUGGAUGAUGUGGAUUAAUUCGAUGCAACGCGAAAAACCUUACCUACCCUUGACAUGUCCAGAAUCCUGCAGAGAUGCGGGAGUGCCCGAAAGGGAAUUGGAACACAGGUGCUGCAUGGCUGUCGUCAGCCCGUGUCGUGAGAUGUUGGGUUAAGUCCCGCAACGAGCGCAACCCUUAUCAUUAGUUGCUACGCAAGGGCACUCUAAUGAGACUGCCGGUGACAAACCGGAGGAAGGUGGGGAUGACGUCAAGUCCUCAUGGCCCUUAUGGGUAGGGCUUCACACGUCAUACAAUGGUCGGUACAGAGGGUUUGCCAGCCGCGAGGUGGAGCCAAUCCCCAGAAGCCGAUCGUAGUCGGGAUGUUCUCUGCACUCGAGAGCAUGAAGUCGGAUCGCUAGUAU